rnacentral:rRNA from 1 species
CAAGUCGAACGGUGUCUUCGGACACAGUGGCGGACGGGUGAGUAACGCGUUAGAAUCUGCCUCUAGGUUGGGGACAACAGUUGGAAACGACUGCUAAUACCCGAUGUGCCGUAAGGUAAAAGAUUUAUUGCCUGGAGAGGAGCUCGCGUCUGAUUAGCUAGUUGGUGGGGUAAAAGCCCACCAAGGCAGCGAUCAGUAGCUGGUCUGAGAGGAUGAGCAGCCACACUGGGACUGAGACACGGCCCAGACUCCUACGGGAGGCAGCAGUGGGGAAUUUUCCGCAAUGGGCGAAAGCCUGACGGAGCAAUACCGCGUGAGGGAGGAAGGCCUUUGGGUUGUAAACCUCUUUUCUCAGGGAAGAAGAUCUGACGGUACCUGAGGAAUAAGCAUCGGCUAACUCCGUGCCAGCAGCCGCGGUAAUACGGAGGAUGCAAGCGUUAUCCGGAAUCAUUGGGCGUAAAGCGUCCGCAGGUGGUUUUUCAAGUCUGCUGUUAAAGACUGGAGCUCAACUCCGGAAAGGCAGUGGAAACUGGAAGACUAGAGUUCGGUAGGGGUAGCGGGAAUUCCCAGUGUAGCGGUGAAAUGCGUAGAUAUUGGGAAGAACAUCGGUGGCGAAGGCGCGCUACUGGACCGAAACUGACACUCAGGGACGAAAGCUAGGGGAGCGAAAGGGAUUAGAUACCCCUGUAGUCCUAGCUGUAAACGAUGGAAACUAGGUGUGGCUUGUAUCGACCCGAGCCGUGCCGUAGCUAACGCGUUAAGUUUCCCGCCUGGGGAGUACGCACGCAAGUGUGAAACUCAAAGGAAUUGACGGGGGCCCGCACAAGCGGUGGAGUAUGUGGUUUAA